rnacentral:lncRNA from 1 species
UUUUAUAUUAUUAUUUUGAAAUUAAAAAUAUAUAAAUUUAUAAAAUAUUAUUUAGAACUUAGAAAAAUAACUAUCAAGAUUUAAGUGAACUUAUGUAAUCAUUUGCCUAGAUUCAUUCUAGACAUUCUUUUUUAGUAAUUUUAUAUAUUAUUAGCCUUUUUAUAAAAUAUCAUAUUUUUAUAUUUGUAAUGGGCCAAAAUUGCCCGGACCCAUCAGAUACCAAAAUCAAAACAAAAGAAAUAAAAUACAGGCCCAAACUAAAAAAACCUAGCCUAGAAAAAUAGCCCAAAAAUAAAACAACACAGGAACCCUAAUACGCCCAAGGCGCCGCGCCUCCAUGUGCGCCCUUGGCACGCACGACGCCCGAGAUUCGGCCCCGUUACACCAAAACGGCCAUCUACAGCCUCGUUGACCUUACCUGCAAGAAAAAAAAAGAAGCAGAAAUAGAAUAAAAAGGCAAAAAAAGGACAGGAAACAGAAACGAAGCAAAACAGCAACAGAGAUUAGACUAAAGCACUUUGUAUUAGACUAUAUAGCCACAAACACAAAAAAAGAUGUAACACACACAUUUUGGAAUCAAAAAGAAUAGAACCAAGGUUUGAAGUGGAUCUCCGAUUUUCUUUUCUUUGUUUUCAUUUCAUUUUUUUAGUUUCUUAUUUUAUUUUUUUAUUUUUUAUUUUUUUUUAUUUUUUUACUAAAAACCUAAUAAAUAAAAGUGGGUAAAACAAUUAAAAGAAAGGAGAGGAGAGGAGAGGGGAAUCUCACCGGAAUUGCCUGCGGUUACGUCACCGGAGGUCUUUCCUCCGUCGUCGGGAUCGAAAAGAAGCGAGGAUCUCUUUUUUUGUUUCUUUUUGGCUCAGGAAGGCUAGACCUUCGAUUUCCUUUUAAAACGGGGCUAAAAAGCCCGUCUUCGCACUUCGUCGGCCACCGGGUACGAUGGUGGUACGACGGGCAGUGGGGAACCCCAACCGUCGGAGACAAAAGGGGAAGGAGAGAGCAAAAGCUCUCUGCUUUGUUUUUUUUAAAUGGGGCUAAAAU